rnacentral:rRNA from 1 species
CGUAGGGUGCGAGCGUUAAUCGGAAUUACUGGGCGUAAAGCAUGCGCAGGCGGUUUGUUAAGAUAGGCGUGAAAUCCCCGGGCUCAACCUGGGAACUGCGCUUAUGACUGGCAAGCUAGAGCACGGCAGAGGGGGGUGGAAUUCCACGUGUAGCAGUGAAAUGCGUAGAGAUGUGGAGGAACACCAAUGGCGAAGGCAGCCCCCUGGGUCGAUACUGACGCUCAUACACGAAAGCGUGGGUAGCAAACAGGAUUAGAUACCCUGGUAGUCCACGCCCUAAACGAUGUCAACUAGGUGUUGGAUGGGUAAAACCAUUUAGUACCGGAGCUAACGCGUGAAGUUGACCGCCUGGGGAGUACGGCCGCAAGGUUA